rnacentral:piRNA from 1 species
UAUGCAUCUGUGCAGGGUAAGGUUUGGG